rnacentral:miRNA from 1 species
UCCGCGACGCGGCUCCA